UGCAGUCGAGCGAGAACCAUGGCUUCGGCCAUGGGGACAGCGGCGAACGGGUGAGUAACACGUGAGUAAUCUGCCCUCGACAUCGGGAUAGCCCGGGGAAACCCGGAUUAAUACCGGAUAGCCUCUGGAGCUCUAGGGCUCUUGAGAAAAGAUGGCUUCGGCUUUCGGUUGAGGAGGAGCUUGCGGCGGAUUAGCUUGUUGGUGGGGUAAAGGCCCACCAAGGCGACAAUCCGUAGCUGGUCUGAGAGGACGAUCAGCCACACUGGGACUGAGACACGGCCCAGACUCCUACGGGAGGCAGCAGUGGGGAAUCUUGCGCAAUGAGCGAAAGCUUGACGCAGCGACGCCGCGUGAGGGAAGAAGGCCUUCGGGUUGCAAACCUCUUUCAGGAGGGACGAAGCCACUCGGGUUAAUACCCCAGAGGGUGACGGUACCUCCAGAAGAAGCCCCGGCUAACUACGUGCCAGCAGCCGCGGUAAUACGUANGGGGCAAGCGUUGUCCGGAAUUAUUGGGCGUAAAGAGCGUGUAGGCGGCCAAGUAGGUCCGUUGUGAAAACUCGAGGCUCAACUUCGAGAUGUCGACGGAAACCAUUUGGCUAGAGUCCGGAAGANGAGAGCGGAAUUCCUGGUGUAGCGGUGAAAUGCGCAGAUAUCNNAAGAACACCCGUGGCGAAAGCGGCUCUCUGGGACGGUACUGACGCUGAGACGCGAAAGCGUGGGGAGCGAACAGGAUUAGAUACCCUGGUAGUCCACGCCGUAAACGAUGGUGCUAGUG
rnacentral:rRNA from 1 species